ACCGUAUUUCCCCAACUAAAAGCCAAACCAAACGAGGAAGAAACUUGAAAUCCCCCUCCCGGUUUCCUCUCUUCGCACCUCCGCUUGAACGAUCGAGGCGCCGGCAGGCCAAGAUCGGUUUUUUCAGCAUCACUAGAGUCAAGGAGGCUUCCCUUGGACUGGUGCUAUGCACGCCCAUCAUAUUUUAUUUAGGAGUCUGGACUGGAUACACUCCUUCUCUUUUGUCCCGUGUGAUAAAAGAUUUAUAGCUUAUAAUAUCACAACAAUGUAUACAACUGUGCAAACAUACAUAUUCAUUACUGCUGAACUUGUAACUGCAGUAUUGUGUAAUUCUAUAUAUCCAUUCAUCUUGUUUUUUCCAUAUUGCAUUUGGGAUCAUGGUAGAGGUUCAUCUGAGGUAUUUCUUCUUUUUGAAAAGAAAGCAUAAAAGCGUUCUAGAUCUUCAGUAUUGUGUAACACCUAGAUACUCAUUCAUGCUGUCUUUGUUUUCUCUUUUUUAACUGAAGAAACACUUAAUCUUAGGUUUUAAAACAGUUUCUGCUUAUUUUUCAGUGCCAUUUAGAAGAUUUUGGUGGCCAGAGCACAAAGCAAGUCACUGAACCAUGCUCAUGGUCUGCUGGAAUAUCACACUAAAACUUCAUGCUUGUAUGUGCAAAGACGAUCCCAAAAGUCCAUCAGUUGGUAUCCUGUCAAGAGGCUGGAACCACCUUCAUGGCCGUUAAUUCGUACAAGAUGGCCAAACCCAUUUUCAUGUACUAUGCCAUGCAGCAAAUGUCGUGGAUCAUCAAUCUGGGCAUAGUCCCAAUCUUCAGAUUCAUCAUGGGGUAACGCAGAACCAUGACUGCACGCCGGGCACCUGAUCAUUGAUUAAAUAAUUGUCAUAUCUGAAGACAUCAUUGCAGUUCAGCGUGUAAUUUUAUUUGUCAUCAGAAGUUGCAGUGUUGCAACCGUUUUUAUUGUCACAUUUGUUUGGAGUGAUAUUGUUGCUUUAUUAGAUUGCAUAUACUGAACAUUGGUGAACCAACCUUGUCUCAAAUAUUUGAACCAUCAGGCCACAACGCCGGCAGGUUUUGCAGCUGGCCAUUUUCUCAUUCCGAAUUAUGAAGUGAUACUUCUUCACACAAACUGGGUGCCUGCUCCAGCCUAUCAGAGUUGAACAAAUUAAUGACAUCAAUUUGGCUCCAAGUUGUAACUCAAGGUCAUCUAUUUGUCAACAGAUGUGGCUUUAAAUUCCCGAGCAAACGUAUAACAAGUAGUAUAGAUCAAUUUAUAAUGAAUUACGUGUUAACCUAUCAGAGGCUAUUAGGAAUAGGCUGCUCAUUUGCCAGCCUCUGUUCC